GAAGAAGGAAAUCCAAUGGGUUGCAUCUCUUCUAAACUGCUCGCCGUCGCCGAAGUCGGCGAGGAGCUUCUCUUCUCUGGCGACGCAGGCCCCGACGGCGACUGCCCGAACCAUUUCGUCUCCCUCACCUCUACCACCUACGGCGCCCUCAGCCUCGAUCGCGGCGACGAGAAAGCCAAUGAUCCCAAGGCGCCAGCAGAGAAGGAAGUCGAACCGGAUGCAGCCUCGGCGUCGGAGUGCGGCCAGCCGUCCCCUCCCCAUGUCGACAAGAAGAGCGCCGCGGCGGAGGAAGAGCGCCCCUCGGAGGUCAUCGACGCGCGGGAGCUCAUGGGGGACCUGGCCGACGAGACCCCUAGCCGGUCGCCACCGCAGAAGAAGAGGCCACACAAACCCUCGCCUGCAUUGCGCCGGUCGCCCGCGGUGAGGGCCGCGAUGUCGCCCGUGAUGCCAAGGAAUUGGUUCGCCGGGAAGGAGAACACCCCGCUGCGGCUGGAGCCCAAAAGGUCGGAUCAUGACGCCUACCGUGCCUCGAAGCCGUUCCGUUCCUUGGACAACACGCCGUGGACCAACCUCGUUUCGGCAAUCUCGAAGAAGGGCACCCCCAACAGCGCACGGAGCAACAACUCCAAUAGAGAUUUCAGUAACUCCAAGUCGAGGCGGAGCCUGAGCCCCUUGUUCGAUCCGGAGCUCCUCGCUCGUUUCGAGCGGGAGCACUGCGAGGAAGGGGAGCAGAUCAAGAGGAUGGUGCACGUCAAGAUCUGCGAUUCUGUUAUCCUGCUUCAAUCCUUCGAGGAGAAGUGUCCCCCAGGAGGUGAGGACACCGUGGUCCUCUACACCACCACGCUCAGAGGGAUCAGGAAGACCUUUGAGGAUUGCAACACAGUCAGGUCCUUGAUCGAGUCCUACGGCGGCCACAUCGUGGAGAGGGACAUCUCCAUGGACUCCGGGUACAGGGAGGAACUACGGCUGCUGAUGGGGAGGAAGGAGGUGAAGGUCCCGAUCGUCUUCGUCAAGGGCAGGUGUGUCGGUGGUGCCGAGGAGAUCGUGAGAUUGGAAGAAGAAGAUGAGUUGGGGCUUUUGCUGGAGGGGCUUCCGAGGGCGACAAAGUGGUGCGAGGGCUGCGGCGGGUUGCGAUUUGUGAUGUGCAUGGACUGCAAUGGCAGCUGCAAGGUGUUGGAUUCCGAGAAGAAGAAGGUGAAGUGUGAAGGGUGCAAUGAGAACGGCUUGAUCCAUUGCCCCAUAUGUUGCUGAGACGAAAAUAGAGAAAGAUUUGGCACUUCCCUUCACGAGGUUUGGAGUCAUCCAUCUUAUGUAUGGUUCCAGGCUACACUUGUUUUUGUUUCUAAUUUACUAGAUGAACGUGGGAUGCCAUGAACAAGUCAAUUAAGCAGUAGGAAUGGGUUGAUUGCUAUAUUCACCCCAGAAUGUAGCAGAUAUCUCUAUAGGGGCUUUACUUCCAGCCAACUCAUACAUUAUUUGCAAAAGAGAUGCCAGUGAAAUCUUUUGAAGAUGAAUGACAUGGAUUUUGGCUGUGCAAACCAAUCCAUUAGAUUUCUUUGUGACCUUGGAACGAACCUUGUGAUGACUGUAUUGACAAAUAUCUUCCCACCAAGAAGAAUCAUGCUAGAAGGAUCAGCCAGGCCAAUUUCUUUCAAGUUUGCGCCUAACUCAGGAAAAAAUCGAGACAAAAGAAAGUGGAAGCAACAGUUGCUGUUUAUAAUUGUGUCUCUCAUACAAUGUCUCUUUCAUGAUCCAUGUUCAUAUUCUUUAUUUCCAGAUCAGUCAGGAUCAGGAUGCAUAAUUCUAUUCCAGAUGCUAAUCUCCCUCUGCAAUCACAACACAGCAGCAGUCUUGUCACAUUUCUCGAGCUGACUUUGCCAAGCCGCAAGUUUGAAUUUGAUGGUCACUACAUCUUUUAUUCCAUUGACUUGGUUGCUGCUUCUUGGAGGCUCAACUCACAAAAAUGCUUUGUCAGUGCAUGUUCUAAUUGUGCGUGCCAUUGCCAGAGUUUGUUCCUGGUGGCAAUGAGUUGGUUUUUGUGCCUCGACUUCCAUAUUUCAAGCACUAUAUAUCAAGAAGAAGGUAUUUUAUUGGGUAGAAAAGUAUGGUGUUUUACAGGGAUCAGGUGACUUAUAGGCAGUCCAUAAUC